rfam:Stegodyphus mimosarum contig170153, whole genome shotgun sequence.
GCGUUCGUGGUGUAAUGGUCAACACAUUCGGUGCGUAUUCGAGAGGUCCGAGGUUCGAGUCCCGGCGAGAGCA